GAUGAAGAACGUAGCGAAAUGCGAUAAGUAGUGUGAAUUGCAGAAUUCAGUAAAUCAUCGAAUCUUUGAACGCACAUUGCGCCUUCUAGUAUUCUGGGAGGCAUGCCUGUUUGAGCGUCAUUAAACCUCUCUCAAGUAUGAUUACUUGGAUGUGAAGGAAGAGUACCUUAAACUUAAGGAGUGUUCUCCUUUGAAAUUGAUUAGCAGAUGGUAAUGUUAUUAAAUCCCUGAUGUUGUAAGAAAUAACAGUGGUUUUGUAGACUAUUAUCUAGCUUUAAAUUAUAAUUUUUAUUAUGGUUGACCUCAAAUCAGGUAAGGAUACCCGCUGAACUUAAGCAUAUCAAUAAGCGGAGGA
rnacentral:misc_RNA from 1 species